UGGGGAAUUUUGGACAAUGGGGGCAACCCUGAUCCAGCAAUGCCGCGUGAGUGAAGAAGGCCUUCGGGUUGUAAAGCUCUUUUGUCAGGGAAGAAACGGUAGUAGCGAAUAACUAUUACUAAUGACGGUACCUGAAGAAUAAGCACCGGCUAACUACGUGCCAGCAGCCGCGGUAAUACGUAGGGUGCAGGCGUUAAUCGGAAUUACUGGGCGUAAAGGGUGCGCAGGCGGUUUGUUAAGACAGGUGUGAAAUCCCCGGGCUUAACCUGGGAAUUGCGCUUGUAACUGGCAGGCUAGAGUGUGGCAGAGGGGGAUGGAAUUCCACGUGUAGCAGUGAAAUGCGUAGAUAUGUGGAGGAACACCGAUGGCGAAGGCAGCCCCCUGGGUUAACACUGACGCUCAUGCACGAAAGCGUGGGGAGCAAACAGGAUUAGAUACCCUGGUAGUCCCUGAGCGGGCUGGCAAGGCGCAU
rnacentral:rRNA from 1 species